GGCUUAGGACGAACGCUGGCGGCGUGCUUAACACAUGCAAGUCGAGCGAUGAAGUCCCUUCGGGGACGGAGUUAGCGGCGGACGGGUGAGUAACACGUGGGUAACCUGCCUCAUAGAGGGGAAUAGCCUUCCGAAAGGAAGAUUAAUACCGCAUAAGAUUGUAGUUUCGCAUGAAACAGCAAUUAAAGGAGUAAUCCGCUAUGAGAUGGACCCGCGUCGCAUUAGCUAGUUGGUGAGGUAACGGCUCACCAAGGCGACGAUGCGUAGCCGACCUGAGAGGGUGAUCGGCCACAUUGGGACUGAGACACGGCCCAGACUCCUACGGGAGGCAGCAGUGGGGAAUAUUGCACAAUGGGGGAAACCCUGAUGCAGCAACGCCCGCGUGAGUGAUGACGGUCUUCGGAUUGUAAAGCUCUGUCUUCAGGGACGAUAAUGACGGUACCUGAGGAGGAAGCCACGGCUAACUACGUGCCAGCAGCUGC
rnacentral:rRNA from 1 species